rnacentral:pre_miRNA from 1 species
UUCCUACUCCCUCCGUUUCAUAAUUCUUGUCUCAAAUUUGCCCAAAUAUGGAUGCAUCUAUUCCUAAAAAGAGUCUAGAUACAUGUAAUAUUUCGACAAGAAUUAUGGAACGGAGGGAGUAUUUA